GGAAGGAUCAUUAUUGAUUUGAUUUGAAGAGUUAGAGAAAGAUAAGAUGGAAGAGUUGGAGGCUGUCGCUGGCUGGCAUAAAGCAUGUGCACGUCUCUUUCUCUUUCUCUACCUUUCUCUUUCUCACACACACACCCACCUUUGUGCAUCCAUUGUAGGCCCUCGAAAGGGGAUCUAUGUUUUAACUUAUCACCCAGUUGUAUGUCCAUAGAAUGUAUCCAAUAUUUUAUACAACUUUCAGCAACGGAUCUCUUGGCUCUCGCAUCGAUGAAGAACGCAGCGAAUUGCGAUAAGUAAUGUGAAUUGCAGAUUUUCAGUGAAUCAUCGAAUCUUUGAACGCACCUUGCGCCCCUUGGUAUUCCGAGGAGCAUGCCUGUUUGAGUGUCAUUGAAUUCUCAACCAUGCCUUGAUUGAUUUUGUGGUGUGGCUUGGAAAUUGGAAGUUGCCGGCGUUGAGAAAUCUUGUCGGCUCUUCUGAAAUUUAUUAGUGAUGGAUGGCAACAAGUCUAUACAUGCACGGUCUUUCGACGUGAUAAUGAUCGUUGUGGGCUGGAGUGGGAAUGGCUUUUGCCCAUUUGCUUCCAACAUUUUGGAAGACUCUUUGACUUUUGUUUCAGCUCGUAAAUGUUAGCUACUAGUUGGUCGCAAGACUAGCGAAUGCAACAGAAGCUUGCUUGAUCAAAGGUCUUUGGUCUACAACUUUUGAUGACUUGACCUCAAAUCAGGUAGGAACUACCCGCUGAACUUAAGCAUAUCAAUAAGCGGAGGAAAAGAAACUAACAAGGAUUCCCCUAGUAACUGCGAGUGAAGCGGGAAGAGCUCAAAUUUUAAAUCUGGCGGUCUGACCGUCCGA
rnacentral:rRNA from 1 species